GCGCUACACUGACGGAGCCAGCGAGUACUGGCGCAAGCCUUCCUUGGCCGAAAGGUCCGGGUAAUCUUGGGAAACUCCGUCGUGCUGGGGAUAGUCCUUUGCAAUUAUCGGACUUGAACGAGGAAUUCCUAGUAAGCGCGGUUCAUCAGAUCGCGUUGAUUACGUCCCUGCCCUUUGUACACACCGCCCGUCGCUACUACCGAUUGAAUGGCUUAGUGAGGCCCUCGGAUUGGCGUAUUNCUGCCGGCAACGGCUGGUUAUAUGCCGAGAAGUUGGUCAAACUUGGUCAUUUAGAGGAAGUAAAAGUCGUAACAAGGUAUCCGUAGGUGAACCUGCGGAUGGAUCAUUAACGU
rnacentral:rRNA from 1 species